GUCUGUCGCUUCGGAACAUCCAAUAAAAUUGGAAUGGUACAGAGAAGAUUUGCAAAGACUGUGCAAGGGUGACACAAAAAAUGAGAAAAAAAUGAGAAUGGGUA